GACGAACGCUGGCGGCGUGCCUAAUACAUGCAAGUAGAACGCACAGUUUAUACCGUAGCUUGCUACACCACAGACUGUGAGUUGCGAACGGGUGAGUAACGCGUAGGUAACCUGCCUGGUAGCGGGGGAUAACUAUUGGAAACGAUAGCUAAUACCGCAUAAUAUUAAUUAUUGCAUGAUAAUUAAUUGAAAGGUGCAAUUGCACCACUACCAGAUGGACCUGCGUUGUAUUAGCUAGUAGGUGAGGUAACGGCUCACCUAGGCGACGAUACAUAGCCGACCUGAGAGGGUGAUCGGCCACACUGGGACUGAGACACGGCCCAGACUCCUACGGGAGGCAGCAGUAGGGAAUCUUCGGCAAUGGACGAAAGUCUGACCGAGCAACGCCGCGUGAGUGAAGAAGGUUUUCGGAUCGUAAAGCUCUGUUGUAAGAGAAGAACGGGUGUGAGAGUGGAAAGUUCACACUGUGACGGUAUCUUACCAGAAAGGGACGGCUAACUACGUG
rnacentral:rRNA from 1 species